rnacentral:rRNA from 1 species
UACGGGGGGGGCAAGCGUUGUUCGGAAUCACUGGGCUUAAAGGGCGCGUAGGCGGCUUCGCAAGUCCGGGGUGAAAGCCCCCAGCUCAACUGGGGAAGUGCCUUGGAUACUGCGGGGCUCGAGGGAGGUAGGGGUGCGUGGAACUUCCGGUGGAGCGGUGAAAUGCGUUGAUAUCGGAAGGAACGCCGGUGGCGAAAGCGACGCACUGGACCUCUUCUGACGCUGAGGCGCGAAAGCCAGGGGAGCAAACGGG